GGCAUUGAUACGGUGGCCUUGGCACGGCACCGAAGACGGGGGCGUGGGGGCCGUUAGCGCAGCUACUUGUCUUUGCGCUUGUACGCUGCUGAGCGGGUAUACGGAGCUGUGUUUGCCGACGAGGCCGCUUCACUUGAUCGAUACACACACACACACACAAACGCACAUAACCUUUGUCUACCUGCUUCAUUGGCCCGCACUUCACCUUCUCCGACUUGGUGUAGACGCGCGUGUGCUAUUGUCCUGCUUUACUUCUCCCUUCGCUUCAUCUUCUCCCCUCUCGCUCUCUCCAUCUCAGCGUGUUGCUCUCUCCUUCGCCCACGUUAACGCACACGCACGCGCGAGGCCGUCAUUCGACAGCAGUCGCUGUAGCUUGGAGACGGAGGUAGAGGGGGAGAGAAAUCGAGGUAGAGGCCGACACACAUACACGCAUACAUGCAUACCCCCUCCUCCGCUACACGUAGACACACGCACACGUCGUUGCAGCAUAGAGAAAGAGACACAAUAGAUAGAGUGAGGUAGGGGAGGAGUGAGGUGGUGGUAAAGGGCAGGCGUGCGUCUGUCUCUGCGCGUCUGCGCUCAGGGUACCGGCGCCCUCUACAAAGUAACGGGCUCGCCUCUGCUGCCUCUCGUUUUGUUCAUUGUUGGAUCCAUUCAGCUGCACUUGUGUGCAGCCGCUGCUGCUUCCUCUCGCUCUCGCCUCCGUAUUUCUUUGAGGACCGUGCAAGAGGAUUGUCUGUGUGCUUGUUGGUGUCGCUGUGUGUCCGCGCGUCGGUGCGGCGCGUGCAUACGUGCAUACGCGCACAACAAAGAAAUAUAGAGAACCACCUCAGUCCUUGUGCACGUACGGUCUGAGGCGUGAUUGGGAGGCGAAGGUGUCACACGACCAGCGCAGAGCGUGUGCAAGGCGACUGUCAUCUGCGUCACGCAGUCAUGUUUCGUCGCUUGUCUAGCUCCUGGCCCCGCGCGCUGGUGCAACCACUGCGCUCAAGCUGCACUGUGCAGUCCCUGACGAAGGCCCAGGCAGCGCUGGCAAGAGGGAAGGCUCCGUCAAUGGACGCCGCUGCGGAGUACGCCGAGUUCUUUCGCGUCCCCAUUUCCGUGGACGCCGGUGUCGUACGCAGCACGCAGGAAUACUACACCAACAUCCGGAGGCUGGCAGCCGAGAAUCAAAGCGCCGUUGCUCAGCGUAACUCGCCGAAGAAGAGCUUCGGGGAAAGCAGCGUGGCGACUUUCCUGGCGGGGUACCACUUCCAGACAGCCACCUUCCAGAUCUUUUCCAUCGCGGCGGACACCAUUGUGUGUAGCGUGGAUACGAGGAUGGAGGCUUCCGAGGUGUGGAGUGUAGCGGAUGAGCUCAUGACCCACAUUAGCGGCGAAUCACCGCAGCUUGCUCUCAUACCCGUUGUAGAGACGGAACAGGAGCGGAUAAGGCUGCAGGAGCCUCUCCAAAAGCUCACGGCCUUGCUGAAGUUCAGCGGGCUGCAAGUGGCCACUCACGUUGACACCCUCGAGCUCAGCUCCGUGCUGUGCCACAGUCCUCCGUCGCCACAUGAUAUCACACAGGACGCCUUGUCUGGUGUGUCUCCAGCUCCUAUGACGUGCACGUGGUUCCAGGCGCAUUGGGCAUUCAUCCGCACUGCAGCGUGCCAGGCGAUGUCGGCAGACCCGUUGCAGACUGUGAGCACGUACGUGCUGCCCCGCUUCUCCGUCUACCUUAUCCAUCUCGUGCGCGCCGGCACUCGUGGGCUUAACGUGUCGCUCUGGGACCCGGUGAGCCGCCGCCGCUUCUCCGCCAAGGGCAUGCUCUCUGACGUGCUUGCCUGCCUGCUCGAUACGCGUUCCAGCCAGAUGAUCUUGGUGCCCACGAACCGAACCGACCGCGCUGCACUCUUUCGCUGCCGCACCGCCGUCGUGAAGGCCGGCCACGAUUGCGUCGUCGUAUACGCGUCAGAGGUGAGCGACCGCCUUCGUGGCUGCUACCAGUCCGACCUGAUGCGGUACUGGGGGGCGAUGAAGGAGGCUGCGAACUUUCUGGACGCGGAUCUGCUCUUCGGCAUCUAUACCGCAGCCGGCAACACACUCCGCAGUUAUCAGCGCAAGAAGCUUUCUCAGAGCCAGAUGUGUGACCACUUGCGUCUGCUAAACAGCUCCUCGGAUGAGGGCAUCGCGACCCCACAGAACGUGCUCGACUGGGCCUGCUACUUUACUCUCCCCAAGCGUGUUGCAGCUGAGAAGGCGGAGCUGCGCCAUUACGACAAGUUCAUCACCAUCGCCUACGUCGCCACCGACCACACCGUGCAUGCCCAGCCGAUGAACCCGGUGGCGGACAUCAACCACGUGCUGAGUGCGUGCAUCACCGACCACGCGAACCGGACAGUAGAGCCGUGGGCCAUCUACACGAAGCGCGGGCAGUUCUGCUUACCCAGCCUCGAUGGAUACGACGUGCUCGUCACACACGAUGCCAAGUCGCUUGUGCUGCUGCUAUCGGGUGAUGCCGAGCUACAGAAGUUCAUCAAGCGCGGCGGCCGUGUGUGGUGUGUGACGCUGGCCGAGUACCUUCUCGAGGCGCAGCGAUGUACCACUGGCAGCAACGGCCUUUACGAUUUGGCCCUACGUCACGGUGUGCAGCUGCCACCAUCGUCGCGCGUGGGUACGCCAAACGACCGUCUCCCGUUUGCCUUUCAGCGGCAGUUUCUCCUCCAUGCAGCGCCCGCGGUAGUGAAGGUAUUUGUGGAGCAGUUGAAGCGUGCGCUUGAACAAUGCCAGGUGCUGAGCUUGGCGCACCGCAUGGACUCCCUGCUUGCGAUGGCGAGCAUCGAGAAGGCCGGCAUUCACAUCGAUGCAGAGGAGGCGGCACGGCAGACGGCCUCGCUGAAGAGCGCCGCGUCUGUGCUGGACGCGGCGAUGGAGGCGUACGUGCCGAGCGAGGUACCGGUUGACAUGAGGAUUUACUUUGACUGGGCGUCGCUGCAGCAGCAGCACGCCUACUUCUUUGGUGGCACAAUUUCGCUAGGACACCAGGCCCACGCCCGCGAUACCCCUCUAUGGACUUCGAACGUGGUCCAUCUUUGCCACCGCUACGGCGCUUUCCCACACAUGGUUGGGGAGCUACACCUGCAGCGUUACGCGGCCCAAUGCGCUCUGCCCACGUCGGGAGGGCUGCCGAACCGCGUCCAUCAGCACAUCGAGGCGCAGGGCUCGCAGAAACUAAAAACGUACCGCGUCGUCUUCUUUGACAUCGAGACAACGGGGCUCAACCCAAGCACGGACGCCAUUGUGGAAGUGGCGAUGUUCGACCCGAUCGAGAACAGCACGUUUCACACGCUCGUGAACCCGCAGCGUUCCAUCACUCCGCGAACUGUUGGGAUUCACCACAUCACAAACGCUAUGGUGCGCGACGCGCCGACCGUGGACGUGGUCGCGAAGAGCAUUGGCCAGUAUCUGCGCCUCGACAAGGCCUCGUACAACCCGCAUGAGAUUUUGGUGCUGGUAGGCCACAACGUCUUCUCCGUGGACGAGCCGAUGCUGCGCCGCGCGCUCGAGUGUCACGCGCCGGAGUGCCAGCUGGACGGCAUUCUGUUUUGCGACUCACUGGCGCUCCUUAAUGCUCACCGGAGCGAGCUGCGAUGGCGCAUGCGCACCAAACGCACAAACCAACCCCUCAUGGAUGCCCUCGCAUCCUCUCUGCGCCUCAGUCGCCUGAUCACAGCGCUCAACGUGCGGCCGGAAGGCGACCUGCACCGCGCUGACACGGACACAAAGGCACUCUGGUAUGUGCUGGUCAACAUCCUCGGUGUCGCCGACAAAGACGCUGUAGUGCAGCGGGACAAGAUUUUGAUCGAGGCCGCCAACUGCUUCCUGCGCUCUCCGUCGAUCGGGUGCUUUGUACCAGCAGAGCGUCAAAACCGGCUCGUGAAGGUGCGGCUGCCGGGCGUGGCUGCCGACUACGUCCGCAACGUGAAGCUGAUUGCAAGUCUGCAGAGCAAAGUCUUCUCCGAAACUGUGCUCGCGUCCUUGCACGCGCACGGCGUGAAGCCGGCAGGCCUGCUCCUGCAGCGGCAGCUGCUCGACCGUCACACCUCCACGUUCCUGCAACCGAGCACAGGCGGGCGGCUGGCCAUUCUGCACCGAGACGGCAGAGUGCACCAGCACAUCGACAUGACCGCCACGACGACGUCGCGUACUGUUAGCGCCUACCCGAGUUGCCAGAACAUUCCGAAGGACGAUAAGUCGUCUGUGCGGCGUCUCUUUGUGUCCCGCUUCGGCUCCAAGGGGCGUUGCGUCGAGGUGGACUACUCGCAGCUGGAGAUUGUGGUGCUGGCGAUCCUGUGCAACGACGCAAACCUCACAAAAGACCUCAAUAGCGGUGUCGACUUCCACGUGAAGCGGGCGGCGUUCUUUAGCGGGCUGCCGUACGACGAGAUUUACCAGGGUUACAAGCGCAAUGUCCCCAAGUACGUCAAGCUGCGCAAGACGGCGAAGCAGUUCUCCUUUCAACGUCUGUACGGCGCUGGGGUGCCGCUGUUGCACAAGACCACCGGCAUUCCCGUAAAGGACCUGGAGGCGUCGAUUCAGAGAGAGAAUGAGGAGUACCCCGGCAUCGCGCAGUUUCACCGCAUUAUCCGGUCGGUCGCGCUUCGCCCGAACAACCCAGGACUGCCCACCAGCUUCAUUGCCGAGAUGCCGACGGGGCUGCGGAUGAGCCUGCGCACGCGGGAUGUGGUGCUGAACCUGCCUCCCAUCAAGAACUACCCAAUUCAAGGCUACGGCGCGGAGCUGGCGCAGAUGAUGCUCGGCCGGCUCUACCGGCACUUUGUGCGGAGAGACUUCUACGAGGACCGCGCGUUUCUCAUCAACUUUGUUCACGACUCGGUGUGGAUGGACUGCCACGUCGAUGUGCUGCGGGAAUGCGUAACGGACACAUGCCGCAUCCUCGGCUCGGUGCACGAGUACGUCCCAAAGGUGUUCCCUGGAGUGAAGAUCAGCGUGCCGCUGCAAGUCUCUGCGUCGUGCGGGGUAGACAUGUGCUCCAUGGAGAGCAUCAAAGACGACGACUACACGUUUGUGUCGAAGCAGCGCAAGACGAGGCCCGCAGAGGUGCAGGACUUUUUGGACCUGACGACGGCCAAGUCGAACUUCUCGGCGGUGAUGGAGGAGAGCGUCGCGUCCGAGGAGGAGGAGAGCGGGGAAACGGCGACGUCCAAGGCGGAGGCGAUCGAGUGAGGCGCGCCGAGAAGCUGUGUGCGUGUCUGCCUCUGCGUAAGGCCUUUGCUUUGUGUGCGUAUAUGGUGACAGUGGCGUGAUUGCCCUUUGUUUUGUUGACCUUGUUUGCAAGGAGACGCAGCCGAGCACUCAACAUAGUUAUUUCAACUGAGAUGUGUACGGGGGCGCGGAUGGCGGGUGUGGGAUGACUGAUGACCGCGCGUGUAUGCGCACCGCUCAACGUAUACAUUGACUUUAUCCUUCCUGUGCUUGUGUGCGUACACCUCGCGCGAGUGCACCGCACGAGGAUGGUGGAAGCCUUCUUCGCUCGGCAGAGGGGGGGGACAUCAUUGUGUGGCCCUUCCUACUACUGAGCGAAGACGUGAAAGCACGUCUUCGCGCCCACCCGCUGGUUCUCCGCGUUUUAAUGCCCACUUCCCUCUCUCUAUGGAGUAUAAAUGCACACCGCGCGAGUGAGGAGGGGAGGAAGAUGGGCCGAGAUGCACACUUCAUACAGGGAUGCGUCAUUUCAGUGCCUUUUCGAUUCUUGUUCCACUCUCAGCGGUCUCCGCACCUUUUUUUUUUCUCUCCCUCUCCCCCUCCCUCCCACACACAUGUUAAUACCGCUCUUCUACCUCAAG
rnacentral:misc_RNA from 1 species